AACUGUGACACGAGGAUUUUCAGUCCUCUGCUCUACCAGCUGAGC
rnacentral:tRNA from 1 species